UACGUAGGGGGCAAGCGUUGUCCGGAUUCAUUGGGCGUAAAGAGCGUGUAGGCGGCCAGGUAGGUCGGUUGUGAAAACUGGAGGCUCAACCUUCAGAGGUCGACCGAAACCAUCUGGCUAGAGUCCGGGAGAGGAGAGUGGAAUUCCCGGUGUAGAGGUGAAAUGCGUAGAGAUCGGGAGGAACACCAGUGGCGAAGGCGGCUCGCUGGGCCGGCCCUGACGCUGAGGAGCGAAAGCAUGGGGAGCGAACAGG
rnacentral:rRNA from 1 species